UGAACGCUGGCGGCAGGCCUAACACAUGCAAGUCGAGCGGUAACAGGGGUAGCUUGCUACCCGCUGACGAGCGGCGGACGGGUGAGUAAUGCAUAGGAAUCUGCCCGAUAGUGGGGGAUAACCUGGGGAAACCCAGGCUAAUACCGCAUACGUCCUACGGGAGAAAGGGGGCUUCGGCUCCCGCUAUUGGAUGAGCCUAUGUCGGAUUAGCUAGUUGGUGAGGUAAAGGCUCACCAAGGCAACGAUCCGUAGCUGGUCUGAGAGGAUGAUCAGCCACAUCGGGACUGAGACACGGCCCGAACUCCUACGGGAGGCAGCAGUGGGGAAUAUUGGACAAUGGGGGCAACCCUGAUCCAGCCAUGCCGCGUGUGUGAAGAAGGCCCUCGGGUUGUAAAGCACUUUCAGCGAGGAAGAACGCCUAUCGGUUAAUACCCGGUAGGAAAGACAUCACUCGCAGAAGAAGCACCGGCUAACUCCGUGCCAGCAGCCGCGGUAAUACGGAGGGUGCAAGCGUUAAUCGGAAUUACUGGGCGUAAAGCGCGCGUAGGUGGCUUGAUAAGCCGGUUGUGAAAGCCCCGGGCUCAACCUGGGAACGGCAUCCGGAACUGUCAGGCUAGAGUGCAGGAGAGGAAGGUAGAAUUCCCGGUGUAGCGGUGAAAUGCGUAGAGAUCGGGAGGAAUACCAGUGGCGAAGGCGGCCUUCUGGACUGACACUGACACUGAGGUGCGAAAGCGUGGGUAGCAAACAGGAUUAGAUACCCUGGUAGUCCACGCCGUAAACGAUGUCGACCAGCCGUUGGGUGCCUAGAGCACUUUG
rnacentral:rRNA from 1 species